rnacentral:sRNA from 1 species
UGACAACAUUGAAGUGGGCUUUUGUGGU